GGCGGACUGGUGAGUAACGCGUGAGGAACCUGCCUUUCAGAGGGGGACAACAGUUGGAAACGACUGCUAAUACCGCAUGACACAUGAAUGGGGCAUCCCAUUGAUGUCAAAGAUUUAUCGCUGAAAGAUGGCCUCGCGUCCCAUUAGCUAGUAGGCGGGGUAACGGCCCACCUAGGCGACGAUGGGUAGCCGGACUGAGAGGUUGACCGGCCACAUUGGGACUGAGAUACGGCCCAGACUCCUACGGGAGGCAGCAGUGGGGAAUAUUGGGCAAUGGACGCAAGUCUGACCCAGCAACGCCGCGUGAAGGAAGAAGGCUUUCGGGUUGUAAACUUCUUUUGUCAGGGAACAGUAGAAGAGGGUACCUGACGAAUAAGCCACGGCUAACUACGUGCCAGCGGCCGCGGUAAUACGUAGGUGGCAAGCGUUGUCCGGAUUUACUGGGUGUAAAGGGCGUGCA
rnacentral:rRNA from 1 species